rnacentral:rRNA from 1 species
CAAUAGCGUAUAUUAAAGUUGUUGCAGUUAAAAGCUCGUAGUUGAACUUUGGGCCCGGUUGGCCGGUCCGAUUUUUUCGUGUACUGGAUUUCCAACGGGGCCUUUCCUUCUGGCUAACCUUGAGUCCUUGUGGCUCUUGGCGAACCAGGACUUUUACUUUGAAAAAUUAGAGUGUUCAAAGCAGGCGUAUUGCUCGAAUAUAUUAGCAUGGAAUAAUAGAAUAGGACGUUUGGUUCUAUUUUGUUGGUUUCUAGGACCAUCGUAAUGAUUAAUAGGGACGGUCGGGGGCAUCAGUAUUCAAUUGUCAGAGGUGAAAUUCUUGGAUUUAUUGAAGACUAACUACUGCGAAAGCAUUUGCCAAGGACGUUUUCAUUAAUCAAGAACGAAAGUUAGGGGAUCGAAGACGAUUAGAUACCGU